AUCAGGGGCCCUGGCAAGGGCCUUCGGGUCGCGCUUCGAUCUACCCCCGAGGCCGAUUCGUGUCUGUACAGCCCACAAGGCGCGUUGGACGUGAUCACGACUGGAACGAGGUUGUCCCGAGGGACGGAAGCGCAUCAAACGGUACAUGGCACACCCUGAUCGAAGCAGCACGGCAACCACGAGCCAACCUGCCCGACGGACGCCCGCACCUGCUCACUUC
rnacentral:ncRNA from 1 species